CCUACGGGUGGCAGCAGUAGGGAAUCUUCCACAAUGGGCGAAAGCCUGAUGGAGCAACGCCGCGUGGGUGAAGAAGGUCUUCUGAUCGUAAAACCCUGUUGUUAGAGAAGAAAGUGCGGGAGAGUAACUGUUCCCGUUUCGACGGUACCUAACCAGAAAGCCACGGCUAACUACGUGCCAGCAGCCGCGGUAAUACGUAGGUGGCAAGCGUUAUCCGGAUUUAUUGGGCGUAAAGGGAACGCAGGCGGUCUGUUAAGUCUGAUGUGAAAUCCUUCGGCUUAACCGGGGAAGUGCAUUUGAUACUGGGAGGCUGGAGUGCAGAGGAGGAGGGUGGAACUCAAGGUGUAGCGGUGAAAUGCGUAGAUAUAUGAAAGAACACCAGUGGCGAAGGCGGCUCUCUGGGCUGUAUCUGACGCUGAGGUUCGAAAGCGUGGGUAGCAAACAGGAUUAGAUACCCUAGUAGUC
rnacentral:rRNA from 1 species